GCCAUUUGACUUUUGCUCUGCCCAUGUGUUGGGCAGGUCUUGGGCAGCUUUACUAGAGGGUUAAUCAUCCACGCUACAGAGGAGAGACCUUUCUGAAGCUUUCACCUGGUGCAUCCUAGCCAUCAGAGUGUGUGAUGAGCUUGGGGUCCUGCUGAGAUGUCACAGACCCCUCUGCCUCAGUCCCCAUGAACACCAACUUGAGCAGACAUCCUGCUUUGCAGGAAAGAAAGGCUAUGGUGCAAAGGAGCUGUUGUUCACUGUUCACUUCUCCCAACAAGCAAUUAAACUGUGAUGGAAACCAAGCUGCACCUGCCAACAGGCACAGUCCUACCCACAGUGCACAUGUGGGGCAGGUUCUACCCAGGGCUUCGGUGCCAGCUGCCCUAGGCUUAUGUAUGGUGCCAUUCAUUUGUUUGAUGUGUUACUGAAUCUGCCUGGGUAUUAAAAGAUUUGAAUCUUAUUUUACAGA